UUAGUCAUAAUAUUCUUUACUGGGCUAGUCGAGCUCACCCUUUUCCUUUUUGUUCCAUUUUUCUUCUCAGGAGGCGAGAAUAUAGCGAAUACGAGUCGGGGUAUGGAAUGAAAGUUCUAGGGAGAGUUGUUUAGUAGUCCUCACCAUUGUUGUAAAAUAAUGUAUCAAUAAUUAUGAUGAGGAUUUAUUUGUAUGUGGAUAUUAUCUAGAUGGCAAUAUCUGUAUUUAAACUCACAGUUUUACUAUUGUAAUAAUAAAGUUGUA
rnacentral:lncRNA from 1 species